rfam:Cyanidioschyzon merolae strain 10D DNA, chromosome 18, complete genome.
ACGCCGCUGGGGUAGUGGUAUCCUAAGACGUUGCCAUCGUCUAGACGCGGGUUCGAUUCCCGCGCGGCGUA